CUUGAUCGACCCGAGCCACAGAGGCAGGUCCUCGGAGCGGCGCUCCUGACCGUAGGUGGCGAGCAGCGCCUGCGCUUC
rnacentral:antisense_RNA from 1 species